rnacentral:rRNA from 1 species
UACGUAGGGUGCAAGCGUUGUCCGGAAUUAUUGGGCGUAAAGAGCUCGUAGGCGGUCUGUUGCGUCGGCUGUGAAAACCCGGGGCUCAACCCCGGGCCUGCAGCCGAUACGAGCAGACUAGAGUUCGGCAGGGGAGACUGGAAUUCCUGGUGUAGCGGUGAAAUGCGCAGAUAUCAGGAGGAACACCGGUGGCGAAGGCGGGUCUCUGGGCCGAUAAUUG